rnacentral:tmRNA from 1 species
GGGGAUGUAAAGGUUUCGACGGGGAUUUUGAAGUCUGAGCAGCGAGUAGAGGAGCAUGCACCUCUAUAAAAGUAUGACGUUUUAAAUUAGACGACAAUAAUAAUUUAGCUUUUACUGCUUAAUUAAGCAGCCGUCUUACCGCGGAGUACCACGGCCGCGGAUAAGGCGUCGAUUAGUGGUGAACGAUCUGUCCGAGCGCCUCGUAGGAUAAGAUCGUAUAGGGGGCUACCAAACUGUUUAGCCUGUCUGCCGGCGAUUCGGUGAGGGAAUUUUAAAAGACUGACUGCACUCGGAGAAACUUGGAUGAAUGAGUUUUCGGACGCGGGUUCAAUUCCCGCCAUCUCCACCA